rnacentral:rRNA from 1 species
GUGGGGAAUAUUGGACAAUGGGCGAAAGCCUGAUCCAGCCAUGCCGCGUGUGUGAAGAAGGUCUUCGGAUUGUAAAGCACUUUAAGUUGGGAGGAAGGGCAGUAAGCUAAUACCUUGCUGUUUUGACGUUACCGACAGAAUAAGCACCGGCUAACUUCGUGCCAGCAGCCGCGGUAAUACGAAGGGUGCAAGCGUUAAUCGGAAUUACUGGGCGUAAAGCGCGCGUAGGUGGUUCGUUAAGUUGGAUGUGAAAGCCCCGGGCUCAACCUGGGAACUGCAUCAAAAACUGGCGAGCUAGAGUACGGUAGAGGGUGGUGGAAUUUCCUGUGUAGCGGUGAAAUGCGUAGAUAUAGGAAGGAACACCAGUGGCGAAGGCGACCACCUGGACUGAUACUGACACUGAGGUGCGAAAGCGUGGGGAGCAAACAGGAUUAGAUACCCCAGUAGUCC